UUACAGUAUAAGAUGAUAUCCUG
rnacentral:miRNA from 1 species